UUAUAUUUGAGCUUGAAUGGAUUUAUUUAAUGAAAGUAUGCUAAAUUAAUUACUGUGUAUGUCAUUAGCAAUGGCCAAUGUUAUGUAAAAAAGAUUAUUUAUUCUUUUCUCUCUCUCCUGGGAACAAGUUAAAGAUAAAACGCCAGUUGUUAAGAAGUUAAAAUGUGCACGAAAUAUUUUGAGAUAACCAAGAUAUUAAAAUGUAAAAAAAAAAAAAAAGUAUUUCUAUAAUUUCAUGGGUUCUGAAUGUUUUAAAAGCAGUUGAAAAGUAAUUCUUAUUGCCUGUGAGAGUUCAUGACCUGUAAGAGUUUUUACACUUCCGGGUAGACCGGAGCGUGAGUGACGAGGAAGAAGGAGCGGAGAGUUAAUGGCGUCGAGCAGCUGACAGAGGACUGUGUGUGUCGUGUUUUAUCACUAACAGACUGAACUGUUGUCUGACGACGUGCUGUGAGUGUGUGAGUUGGACUCUCCAUUGCAGUCGAAGUGUUUGUUUUUUAAUGGACACGAAGCAAGUUCGGCUAAGCUAGCUAGCAGGAGCUAAGCUAGGCUAGCAGGAGCUAGGCUAGCGGCCCGGCCAUUGUCGAGAGGACGUCUGCGCGGACGGAGAAGCUUUGCCGGGUCGCCACGAAGAAUGUUGCCGACGGACGGCGCUUCCCUGCGGCAGAGGGACACAGAGGUUUAUCGCUGCGAGCAUUUUGUUUCCACAGACUAACCUCGCCUCAUAACAAGGCCGCGACCUCCUGUUAGCUCGGAGCCACGUCUGCAAGUCCAGAUUUACACGAUGCCGAUAAUGACGCCAUUGUGUCUGCCUGUAAGACAUUACGAGACAGUACGCAGGACAACAAACAAGCAGAUCUUGCAUCGCAGGCUGACGCUGUGAGGAGUUCAGCUCGGAGUCGAUCGAGGACAAAGAGGGUAAGAUUUAUUAGAUUUGAUCCGUUUUUGGUCAGUGUGACUAUUAUUCUAUUAAAUGAUAGAUGUGUUGUAUCCAUACGCAGUACUGAUCGUCUUUAUUUUUUUUUUUACAGCUGCUGGAAGCGAGACAGAGUUCUAGCUGAGGAUGAGGUGGACUUUUCGAUGUGCGCCGCCAUGGACCUGAUGUCUGAGGAGGAAGACGGCACAAGAUGGCGGGGUUUCCGGAUGAAUUGUGCGACCUCCGUCCUUUCGCAGCCGGGAGCUCACCGAGCUCUGUGCCACACUGCUGUCACAUGAGAGGCGAUUCCGAAGUAGCAGCGCACCACAGACGUCUGCAGAAACAGACACUUUGCGGUGCUGUAGGAUUUUGGGCCUCUUGAGCUUCCUGUUUGUUGUGUGGGCAGACUAUGCUUUGUACAUGCUGUGUGUUUGUGCUAAUAAAACUCUUUCUUUGAAUAAACAACUCCUUCCUGGUAAAUGUUCCUUUCCUCAGUAAAUUCAUUCGUAAAAGUGUUUCACAUUUUGUAAUACUAAGUCCAAAAACGUCCAUGUCACCUCCAGGGCUCCGUAGGGAGGUGCAAACCAAAAU
rnacentral:lncRNA from 1 species